rnacentral:tRNA from 1 species
AGCAGCGUGGCUCAGUGGAAAGAGCCUGGGCUUUGGAGUCAGAGGUCAUAGGUUCGAAUCCCAGCUCUGCCA